rnacentral:tRNA from 1 species
GUGGCUCAGUGGGAGAGCACUUGCCUUGCAUGCAUGAGGCCCUGGGUUCAAGUACUCAGC